rnacentral:rRNA from 1 species
GAGUUUGAUCUUGGCUCAGGACGAACGCUGGCGGCGUGCUUAACACAUGCAAGUCGAACGGUAAGGCCCCUUCGGGGGUACACGAGUGGCGAACGGGUGAGUAACACGUGGGUGAUCUGCCCUGCACUCUGGGAUAAGCCUGGGAAACUGGGUCUAAUACCGGAUAUGAGCUCCUGUCGCAUGGCGGGGGUUGGAAAGGUUUACUGGUGCAGGAUGGGCCCGCGGCCUAUCAGCUUGUUGGUGGGGUAAUGGCCUACCAAGGCGACGACGGGUAGCCGGCCUGAGAGGGCGACCGGCCACACUGGGACUGAGACACGGCCCAGACUCCUACGGGAGGCAGCAGUGGGGAAUAUUGCACAAUGGGCGAAAGCCUGAUGCAGCGACGCCGCGUGAGGGAUGACGGCCUUCGGUU